rnacentral:tRNA from 1 species
GGAGGGUUCGCAUAGUGGUCUAGUGCGCCCGCUUGGAAAGCGGGUAAGGUGUUAAAGCCUUCACGAGUUCGAAUCUCGUACCCUCCGCCA